rnacentral:rRNA from 1 species
GAUGAACGCUGGCGGCGUGCCUAAUACAUGCAAGUCGAGCGAACGGACGAGAAGCUUGCUUCUCUGAUGUUAGCGGCGGACGGGUGAGUAACACGUGGAUAACCUACCUAUAAGACUGGGAUAACUUCGGGAAACCGUAGCUAAUACCGGAUAAUAUUUUGAACCGCAUGGUUCAAAAGUGAAAGACGGUCUUGCUGUCACUUAUAGAUGGAUCCGCACUGCAUUAGCUAGUUGGUAAGGUAACGGCUUACCAAGGCAACGAUGCAUAGCCGACCUGAGAGGGUGAUCGGCCACACUGGAACUGAGACACGGUCCAGACUCCUACGGGAGGCAGCAGUAGGGAAUCUUCCGCAAUGGGCGAAAGCCUGACGGAGCAACGCCGCGUGAGUGAUGAAGGUCUUCGGAUCGUAAAACUCUGUUAUUAGGGAAGAACAUAUGUGUAAGUAACUGUGCACAUCUUGACGGUACCUAAUCAGAAAGCCACGGCUAACUACGUG